AUAUUUUGCUAAUGCCAGAUACAUUUAUUAUGGUGGGAAUCUAACGUGUUUUUCAAACAAAAUUUUAUAUUUAAAUUUUCUUAAUUAUAUGUUUGUUGUAUGGGCAAUCCAUGAAUCUUGGAGUGAGUUUAGUGCAGCAAGGAAUUGAAAAAAAAAAUAAAAUUAUAUAUUAAAAAGGGGUUUAGAAUGGGACAAGGAAGGCACAUUUUGUGUCUUAGCAAACAGAAACGGACCCAAAGGCAAGUUGAAAAUAGCUUCACACCGGCCACUCAAUUCCAUAAAUACAAUGCUUUUGCCAAAUUAAGCCGCAUAUGUUUUUUUUCUCUUUUUCUCCCUAUCUGGGGCCCAGUUCAUCUUCCUCUCUGCGCAUCCUCUCUCUUUCUCUCUAAUCUGUAUAUGAAAUGAGAGGAAGAGAGAGAGGAAUAACUUGGUGGGUCAUUGUAGGAUUAUUGGGGCAAAAGCAAAAUCAGUAAUGGGUCAAGAAGACAAGCACUUGUUUCUCAACCACUCAAUUCCAUGUAUUAUUAAGGGCAAAGACCAAACUAUCCUUCAUUUUGCCAAUGAAGAUCAACCAGUAGUAGACGUUGAAGACAUUCUUUUUCUCUUGUAAAAUCAUAGGUCAUUGUCGAGCAAUCGCAUUAAUGAAGACCUGUGCUACUACUACUUCAACUACUAUCUACUUCAAUGUAACUCUUUUCUUUUUCUCUCCCUUUCUUUCUCGAUCUGUAGAAUAAACACUACCAUUCCUUAAUAGAAAGUAAAAAGGGCAGACAGGAUGAAGCCAGGCAUAUGUUGUUUUUGUGGUUUUCAUAACUUUGUAUUUGAGGAGAAGUAAAGGAGAAGAAGGAGAAGAGAGAAGUGUCUUACGGCUGGAUCUUCUUCUUCAUACAUAUAUAUAGGUGAAAUUAAUGUUCACAUACAUAAAAGAAGAUUAUUUGUAUUGCAUCAAGGAUCUGAAAGCAUUUCUGUAUUGGAUUGAAAUAAUAAUUUUCUUUUUGUAUGCUUCUGUUUUUGAUGAUUUUUGGCUUGUUAUUCUUCACGUAUUUUCCGUCACUUACGAUUCGUUUAGGUUGUAAAGAUCCUUAAUUUGUGUCUGGUCUGGCUUCUGUAUUUCAUUUAGUCUCUACCAUGUCUUAUAAAAAUAUGCUUUGGCCGGUUUUCUUUUUUUUAUCAA